UUUAUUUAAGAGUUUGAUCCUGGCUCAGGAUGAACGCUGGCGGCGUGCCUAACACAUGCAAGUCGAGCGAGCUGACCUAUUAGAAACCUUC
rnacentral:rRNA from 1 species